rnacentral:rRNA from 1 species
UACGUAGGGUGCAAGCGUUAAUCGGAAUUACUGGGCGUAAAGCGUGCGCAGGCGGUGAUGUAAGACAGUUGUGAAAUCCCCGGGCUCAACCUGGGAACUGCAUCUGUGACUGCAUUGCUGGAGUGCGGCAGAGGGGGAUGGAAUUCCGCGUGUAGCAGUGAAAUGCGUAGAGAUGUGGAGGAACACCGAUGGCGAAGGCAGCCCCCUGGGCCAAUACUGACGCUCAUGCACGAAAGCGUGGGGAGCAAACAGG